GUGACAAGGAAUACAUCAGAAGUCAGUUAUUUACAGUUCUACUUAAAACAUUGGCCUUUGUGUAGAUUCAAGCCUUGAUUGGAUGUUGUAAAUUGAGUCUUCCAAGUGGAUGCAGCUGUAAACAACUUGGAAUCUACACUGUCUUAGAAGGUCUGUGUGCGGGUCAUGUUGUCCUCAGCCGAGGACUAACCUCACGUUGAACCCCCUUGGAGAUACUAAAGGAGACACCAGAGGGCUGAAAACAUACAGGUGAAACUUAAUGGUCCAGAUAUGGCAGUGCCUGUAAGAUACCCUUGGUGGAGAGCAUUUGUGACAAGGAAGAGUAUUCCAACAACCCAAGAAUCUGGUGAGACCCAACCUUCUGGGGAGAAGAUGUCUCCUAUCUCCUCCAAAUCUACCCCGGACUCAAAGGGAAACGAAACCUUUCCAGAUGCAGAAACCUUUGACGAUGCAGAGUUUGAGCCAAUGUUCAAUGAGAAAACCUGUAGACGGAAUCUGAAAGUUUCACGUUCUGGACGUUUUAAGGAGAACAGACGAGUACGGGGGACCAUACCUGACAAUAACAACUUCAGUGGAAGUGUUGCUGCGACUGCUGUUGCUGAGUAGUCCAGGCUACAUCAUGAUCAUUAUACCUGCCAGACUGCAACCUGUUAUGGAGCAUUGAUGAUGAAAUAUGAAUAUAUUUGGAGGCAUUUUUUAAAGAUAUAACUUUCAUAAUGUUCAUCAAUUGCGCCUAUCACCAGGUUAAUAUAUUAGGUAUACACCUAAUUCAUAAUAUGUUUAGGCCAAUGAAGCAUGGAUACGGAAUAGCUAUGAAGUAUCAAAUAAUUGUAAAGAAUGAUUUCAUAAUCAUUUUAUAGUGAAUUCAGGAAGUAGCUCCGUCCGGGACUUAAACCAGGGUCCGGUAACUGUCAAGCCAAGACCUUAAUGCCAAGAGUUCUGGGUUAAGGUUACAAUAUUACCACCUUCCUUCAGGAGAGUGUCCCCACACUUCUCUAUACCAAGUCUCUCUCAUGUGUACACGCCUCUCAAAUGGGCUCACGGGCACCAUCCCACUUCACUAGGUGUUUUCAUAUUUCAUACACACACAGCCUAAAGCACAUGGUAUCUAAUGUUACAAAUAUAUCCAGCCAGGGUCAAUUACUUAUUUUGUCAUUUGUUUAAAUUGGUUUUUGUGUGUUUGUUUUCUUGACAUGAAUGACUUGAGGUGGUUUGAUAUGAAGGACUUGAGGUGGUUUGAUAUGAAGGAUUUGAGGUAGUUUGAUAUGAAGGACGAGGUGGUUUGAUAUGAACGACUUGAGGUAGUUUAACAUGAAGGACUUGAGGUGGUUUAAUAUGAAGGACAUGAGGUGGUUUGAUAUGAAGUACGAGGUGGUUUGAUAUGAAGGACUUGAGGUGGUUUAAUAUGAAGGUCAUGAGGUGGUUUGAUAUGAAGGACGAGGUGGUUUGAUAUGAAAUGUAAAUGUAAGGACGAGGUGGUUUGAUAUGAAAGACUUGAGGUGGUUUGAUAUGAAGGACUUGAGGUAGUUUGACAUGAAGGACUUGAGGUGGUUUAAUAUGAAGGACAUGAGGUGGUUUGAUAUGAAGUACGAGGUGGCUUGAUAUGAAGGACUUGAGGUGGUUUAAUAUGAAGGACUUGAGGUGGUUUAAUAUGAAGGACUUGAGGUGGUUUAAUAUAAUCGACUUGAGGUGGUUUGAUAUGAAGGACUUGAGGUAGUUUGAUAUGAAGUACGAGGUGGCUUGAUAUGAAGGACUUGAGGUGGUUUGAUAUGAAGGACUUGAGGUGGUUUGAUAUGAAGGACAUGAGGUGGUUUGAUAUGAAGGACUUGAGGUGGUUUGAUAUGAAGGACUUGAGGUGGUUUGAUAUGAAGGACUUGAGGUGGUUUGAUAUGAAGGACAUGAGGUGGUUUAAUAUGAAGGACAUGAGGUGGUUUAAUAUGAAGGACAUGAGGUGGUUUGAUAUGAAGGACAUGAGGUGGUUUGAUAUGAAGGACAUGAGGUGGUUUGAUAUGAAGGACAUGAGGUGGUUUGAUAUGAAGGACUUGAGGUGGUUUGAUAUGAAGGACUUGAGGUGGUUUGAUAUGAAGGACAUGAGGUGGUUUAAUAUGAAGGACAUGAGGUGGUUUAAUAUGAAGGACAUGAGGUGGUUUGAUAUGAAGGACAUGAGGUGGUUUGAUAUGAAGGACAUGAGGUGGUUUGAUAUGAAGGACUUGAGGUGGUUUGAUAUGAAGGACUUGAGGUGGUUUAAUAUGAAGGACAUGAGGUGGUUUGAUAUGAAGGACAUGAGGUGGUUUAAUAUGAAGGACAUGAGGUGGUUUGAUAUGAAGGACAUGAGGUGGUUUAAUAUGAAGGACAUGAGGUGGUUUGAUAUGAAAGACAUGAGGUGGUUUGAUAUGAAGGACAUGAGGUGGUUUGAUAUGAAGGACAUGAGGUGGUUUGAUAUGAAGGACAUGAGGUGGUUUGAUAUGAAGGACAUGAGGUGGUUUAAUAUGAAGGACUCACAUACAACCAAACUUGAUUUAGAUCAUGUUGGAUUAAUCUGAUUCUGUUCAUACUGUACUAGGCUACCUAAGGUCUAGUAAUGCACUAAUGCAGUGGUUCCUAACCAUUUUUUGGUUACUGUACCACCAACUGAAUUUUGCUCUGCCUAGAGUACCUGCUCAUGUGUAUUUUACCAGUAAACCUAUGGUCUCAUGAGUCUUCUCAAGUACCCCUGUGGAUAGACCAGGUGCCCCCAGGGGUCUUAGUACCACUGGUUGGGAACCACUGCAGGAAUGAACUCUGACAGAGGAUGCGAACGAAGGAUAUGCCAGCAUGUACAUUAGCUAGUGUUCAGGAGAUUGUAAGAUUACAUUUAGUUGUUUACAUCACAUAAUACUUUAAAUGUAAAAAUGCGCACACUCACUCAGGAGUUACAUAUGACGUUAAUACACCUUUGUUACAUAUUUAUUGUGGAUAAUAUAUUUACUAUUUAGUCACGAUCUCAAAAUAUUUGUUUUGAAUGGACUAUGCCUUCUGUCAUCAUUGUUAGCAGUCUGCUAAAAGAUUACUUCAGAGAUGUAUAUGAAGAAAAAAACAUCUACAAUAUUGUAAAUAAAUGUGUAAAUAUGUUA